CCGCCCUCUGCUGCAGAGCCUUUUCCUGAUACCCAGCCUGAACGUCUUCUGCCCACAGCACACUUUUGUCAUCGUUUUCUAACUCAUCCUGGUGGGUGCCAGGGUGCUGCUGAGGGCUGUGACCGACCGUCACAAGGCUGCAGACAUCUCUGGAAAGCCAGGUCCCGCCUGCGUGGUGUCCAGCCUCUUCCCUGAAGGUUUCACUUCGUACUUACAAGAUACAUGCCAGGACUGGAGGUGGUGGGCUACGAGGAGAGGCUGUGCUGCCACAGAGGAUGCCAUCUGACAGCGGUGGGUAGAAUAUGACAAUGUCACUCAUUCAUCACCUGGUAAUUAAGCAUUUUAUAAGCUGCCUGAAAACAAAUUACAAGUUCUCUUCAUCUGCCACUGAGGGUCUAAGAGCCAUGUGCCUGCCCUGAGCACAGCUUUUGGCAGCACCUCCCUCCUUCCUGUCCCCAAACCACCUCAAGCUUAUUUAUGGUAAAGGAGCAUAACAUGGUUCUUCAUAAUUCACUGUCUCAGAAGUUUAUGCUAUUAAGUAGUUUAUGUUUCUGUGUUUCUGUAUUUCUGUAUACAGUACGUUGCGCGCUGUGCUGUAGGAACUUUGUGACAUGAUCUGCUUAUCAAUGGAAAAUGAAGUGUGGGUGAUGGCUUGAAUUCAUAGGUCAUGAACACUGCUGGGAAUGGAGCCUGGAACCUCACAGUCCUUUCUUUAACCAAUGGUAAUAUUCUGUCUCAAGUGGUCUCAACAGGCUGCUGACUUCAAAACUGAAAUAGUUCA